CAGGAAGUGGCCUGUAGGCUGAUACUUGAAGAAUGGUUAGGAGUUAGGCAAUUGGGGUGGGAGGGAGGAAAUGAAGCUGAGACAAAGAAUAGCAAGGGCCAAAACCUAGAAACAAGAGACUGUAAGCUAUAGCAAAGGAAGUGGGGUAAUGCAUGUUUUAGGUCCUGUGUGGGGUGUUUGUGAAUACACAUGCGGGGUGUGGAGCGUGAUGAGAGACAAAGCUGAGAAGCCUCUGCUCUUGCUUACUAGGGCUGC
rnacentral:lncRNA from 1 species